rnacentral:rRNA from 1 species
UACGUAGGGGGCAAGCGUUGUCCGGAAUUAUUGGGCGUAAAGCGCGCGCAGGCGGCUUCUUAAGUCUGAUGUGAAAGCCCACGGCUCAACCGUGGAGGGUCAUUGGAAACUGGGGAGCUUGAGUGCAGAAGAGGAGAGUGGAAUUCCACGUGUAGCGGUGAAAUGCGUAGAUAUGUGGAGGAACACCAGUGGCGAAAGCGGCUCACUGGACUGGUAUUGACGCUGAGGUGCGAAAGCGUGGGGAGCAAACAGG